rnacentral:lncRNA from 1 species
CUCCACUCGAACAACCCCCCGGAGAAGUACUGGUGUCACUGCCACCUGCGAGAGUUUGCGGCUACCUCCCCAAGAGGCAGUCCCAGGGUUAUUGUGACCUAUGAUGUUUAUUCAACUACUGUUGACGGGCUGCUGUGCACAGGGAACCUAGUAGGCAAGACCCCUGCCAUCGUGCAGCUUACUGUCAGGUUGACACAGACCUUAAGAAAGAACAAAAUUUUAAAUAAAUUAAAAACGACACCUGUAAUUUGAGAAGAUGCUUGAUAUCAGAAGAGGAGAAGAGUGGAGAGGGGUGGAGUGGCAAAGGAGAGCCUCCAAACCAAAAGCCUGCGGCAGAGGCCCUAGGAGGCAAGCACUUAACCAUGUUUCAGGACUAGAAACGAAACAUGUGACAAGACCUUUAAAAACAAAUAGAAUGGGAUGGAAUAAAGUUGGAUGAGUAAGCAGGCAUCAAAUCAUUCAGAAACUUGUUGUCCAAGUUGAAGAAUUUGUUUAGUAUUGUAUAAUAAAUGCAGAGGAAGCUAUAUACACUUAUAAUUUACAUUUUUUAAAGGCCACGUUGUAGCUCAAUCGGAUAGUUUGUCUUUUGAUGGGAUGUAGUAUACAGUAUCAGGCAGAAUGAAGGAACAAGACAGCAAAGAAUGUGACUGGCCCCAUGGAAAGGAAGUUGUAUCCUAUCCUGGGGACUCUGUCCAGA